GCUAGUGUCGUAAAACUAAAUAAAAAGUGUGUUUGUCUUCCAUCGGAACAGCUGAGCCCGGGUCCCAAAAACGCCGGCAAACGUGCCGGAGAGACUCGGAGAGCGGUCCGGUCCCAGCGGACAGAUAAGGCCCACAGCACGAGUACGAGUACGAGUACGAGAGUACGGCGCUUGUUGCUAUCAGCAUUAAUUAGCGUAGCUUCGCAGAUCGUUUGCAGAUCAGAUCGAUCGUACACAGACCAGGUCUCCCCGUAGGUAUAUGUACAUAUAUAGUACUUGUUCACUUGUUCAGACGCCGUGUAAGCAGAAGUUUGUUUAUUUUCUUGCUAAACAUUUGGCUGAUCGGGUGUAGGCCUAGGGUAGGGCUCUGGAGAACCUGUGCUGCCGCUUAGGGAUCGAACACGCGCGUGGUCCUAGGUCUAGGCAAGAUAUAUUGCGCUCGUGAGAACUUAAUAAAACCAUAAAAGAUACAGCUGCCGACUGAAAGAUACCCUUAGAGCUAUCUAGUCUCUUAGUUGAUCACUCGCUCUCUCCGACGCAACAUACCCUAGCAGCCAGCACAUCACUGGGUAUCACAAAUCGGAUACAAAUAUUCAAAGGCGGAAAUAUAUUUAACCAAAGCGAGGAGAGAAAUUUGCCGCUCAGUUGUCGAAGCCCCUCGGCAGAUAUUCGAUUUCACCACGAACCGGAGGGCGUGUGGCCAUAAUGCGAUUAGAUGUUGUAUUUAUAGAUGUCAGAUUUCGGACUGCGUUCGGCUUAUGGAACUGCUGCACCGCACCCAUUCGAGUUCGAUGAUAAAGUGAUGAUGCCCCAAGGUUCCGAAAUUGCUUUCAAAUAGAUUCCAAGCCCCGAGAAACCACUUUUGACUUCUGAAUUCAGGCAAAAGAGUUUAGCAUAUGAAUAAAGACGCACCGCAUCGCCCCGCCCCGUCCCCAAAAGAUCCAAAAGACCCAUCGGAUCCCCAAUUUAUAUGCAAAGCGACAAUGUGUGGAGAUAAUGCCUGCCCUGCUGCGAUGAUCCAGCAUUUGCCUUGGGGAUGGGAAUGAGAGUGAUGAUGCCACCAUCAUAUCAUUCGAGAGGGCGAAAUAAUUAAACGAGUAUCGUAAAGCUAAAAUAUAAUGGAUUUAUGUAAAGUUAUGUUACACGCUCUGGCUGGAAAUGGACACAGAUGCGAUAAGCCGGCUCACAACAAAUGGCAGCAAAUAAAUAAAAAAUCAUUAAGAGAGUCGGUUGUCUGUCCUAUUAUGGUUGGACCACAGACUAAACACCGAAUAAAGCAUUGAGAUAGGCCCAAACAGAAUCGAGCUGAAAAGAAACCCGCUUAGGGGCGGUUCUGCCUUUUGAUGUAAGCCCACAAAUCAGUUAA